rnacentral:rRNA from 1 species
UACGUAGGGUGCAAGCGUUAAUCGGAAUUACUGGGCGUAAAGCGUGCGCAGGCGGUUUUUGUAAGACGAGGCGUAGAAACGUCCCCGGGCUCAACCGUGGGAAUGGCGCUUGUGACUGCAAAGCUGGAGUGCGGCAGGAGGGGGAUGGAAUUCCGCGUGUAGCAGUGAAAUGCGUAGAGAUGUGGAGGAACACCAAUGGCGAAGGCACGCCCCCGUGGGUCGAUACUGACGCUCAUGCACGAAAGCGU